rnacentral:lncRNA from 1 species
GAGAGAAGCUGGGAACCAGUGAUGAGAAGCUGAGGUUGAGUGGAGAGAUGCUGAGAUCAAUCAGAGAGAAGCUGAGGUUGAGUGGAGAGAAGCUGGGAACCAGUGAUGAGAAGCUGAGGUUGAGUGGAGAGAAGCUGAGGUUGAGUGGAGAGAAGCUGAGAUCAAGCAGAGAGAAGCUGAGGUUGAGUGGAGAGAAGCUGGGAACCAGUGAUGAGAAGCUGAGGUUGAGUGGAGAGAAGCUAAGAUCAAGCAGAGAGAAGCUGAGGUUGAGUGGAGAGAAGCUAAGAUCAAGCAGAGAGAAGCUGAGAUUGAGUGGAGAGAAGCUGGGAACAAGUGAUGAGAAGCUGAGGUUGAGUGGAGAGAAGCUGAGAUCAAGCAGAGAGAAGCUGGGAACCAGUGGAGAGAAGCUGAGAUCAAGCAGAGAGAAGCUGAGGUUGAGUGGAGAGAAGCUGGGGUCAAGUGCGGAGAAGCUGAGAUCUAGUGAGGAGAAGUUAGGGACCAGCGGGGAGAAAUUGGAGGGUUCAAGAAUGGGGAGCAUAAAUGAGAAGAACAUUGAAAAAGUGGUAGAAGUUACUGGCGAUGAAAGAGUGAUGGCAUUUACUCAUGAUGAGAUGGAAAUUCCUUUUGAAAGUGUCAAAGGGAGUGAGGAACUACAAGGGACUGAGAAAGGAGUGGGAGUUGAGGGGGGCAUCUUGAGUGAAGUGAAAGAUAUCACUGAUGAAUCUGUUUCUAUGGAAAAAAAAGAUAUUAUAGGUGAAGGUACCAGUGAAUGAGGCAGAUGAAGGAUUGACACCAAAGAAGGAAAGAGGCAGACAGGAGAAGUACUGAAAGUCAGAGGAGAAAUUAGAGCCAGACAGAACAUUAUUGACACUGAAGGGGUAAAGUUGAGAAAGGAAAGGAGAGAGUCUGAGCCUAAAAUAAAAGAGAGUGGAAGUGAGGAAAAGAGCUUCUGGGGCUGAAGGCGGAGGCCAGGAUCAAAGGAAGCAAAGAGGAGUCUCUGGUUCAGAGGGAAGUGGGAACAUAUGGAGGAGAAAGAGAAGACUUGGUAAUGUGUUGACAGAGGACACUUGGAUAUUGGGAGAAAAGGUGUGACUGGGAGCUCAUAGGGAAAUGUUUGAGAAAAGGAUGGAGGAUGGGCUAGAAGGAUUUAGUCUGACACUAAAUGGGGUCUAUGAGAUGGAGAAUUGCAGCAGGAUAAAGGGUAGAUUUUGAGAGUUGUGGAAGAAGGUGCAGACUGAAGUGGGCAAAAUUUCUGAAAGAGGAGCCUGAAGAAUGAAGGGCUCCCAAGUGACAAAAGCAAGAGAGGAGAUAAGAAAGAAGUGAGAAAAAACAUAAGAAGCCACGUGCCAUAAUGGUGAUUGUGUUUGUUGACAAGCCCUGAACCUUGGCUUCCUCACCUG